UACAGAGGUCCCAAGCGUUGUUCGGAUUCACUGGGCGUAAAGGGUGCGUAGGUGGUCGGAUAAGUUUGAUGUGAAAGCUCCAAGCUCAACUUGGAAACGGCAUUAAAUACUAUUCGGCUGGAGGGUUGGAGGGGAGACUGGAAUUCUCGGUGUAGCAGUGAAAUGCGUAGAUAUCGAGAGGAACACCAGUGGCGAAGGCGAGUCUCUGGACAACUCCUGACACUGAGGCACGAAAGCUAGGGGAG
rnacentral:rRNA from 1 species